GAUCUCUUCUUUUUGUUUUUAAGCAGAGACAAGCCAGUGAUUCAAGGCUCUCUGUGUCUGAAAUGUGUGUGAACAGGUUGAGAUUGGCUGCCUGCAAAAAGCCUUCAACUCCAGGCUUAACAGACUGGACCUCCAGGAAGCAUUUUAAAUGUGUCUUUCCAGAAAUUUGAUCCCACCCUCCUAGAGACCCCAGAAGAACAUGGGACACAUGAGAAGAAAACCAAGUAGGUGAUUGCAAAAAUGACCACAAAUUAUUCCCCUACCAUGAAGAGGGAGAUUCCGAGCUUGGGCCACAAGAGGUUUUGCACACACCCAUUCUCUCUUUGAAUUCUGUCACCACCAUGGGAACAAGCCCAGGCCACCCACUGGGGGAUGUGAGGAGGAGCGACCACAUGGAGCAAAGAUGACCUGUCCUAGCUGAGACUCCAGACACGUGCGAACGGCCAGCCAAAAUCAGCAGCACCAAUGCAGCAGUGGACUGCAGAUGCAUGAGUGAGCUCGGAAGAGACAGAGGAAUCACCCAGCUGAACUAUUUCCAAACUGCUGACCAAUACAAUCCUGUGUUAAAUAAAGAAAUU